CAGUCGCCGCGGUAAUACGAGGGGUGCAAGCGUUAUUCGGAUUGAUUGGGUGCAAAGGGUGUGCAGACGGCUUAUUAAGUCACUUGUUAAAUUCUUCGGCCUAACUGAAGGUCUGCAAGUGAUACUGAUGAGCUAGAGGGUGGAAGAGAGAAGUGGAAUUCUCGGAGUAGCGGUAAAAUGCGUAGAUCUCGAGAGGAACACCAAUGGCGAAGGCAGCUUCUUGGUCCAUUCCUGACGUUCAUACACGAAAGCGUGGGGAGCAAACAGGAUUAGAUACCCCGGUAGUCCAUGUCUCUUAUAA
rnacentral:rRNA from 1 species